rnacentral:rRNA from 1 species
GACGUAGGUGGCGAACGUUAUCCGGAAUUAUUGGGCGUAAAGGGUGCGUAGAUGGUGUAGUAAGUUAUCGGUGGCAAAUCGAGGCUCAACCUCGUGGAAGUCGGUAAUACUGCUAUGCUAGAGGAUAGGAGAGGUUAACGGAACUCCCUGUGGAGCGGUGAAAUGCGUAGAUAUAGGGAAGAACACCAAUCAGGCGAAGGCAGUUAACUAUUCUAUUCCUGACAUUGAGGCAUGAAAGCGUGGGGAGCAAAACGG